ACAGACAUGAUAUUAAAGUUAAAGUCAACUUUACAUUAAAAUAAAAUCAUAGGAUUUAAUGAUCAGAAAUCAAAACAAUUCAAUAUUCACCAUGUGACAGGAAGACUUCAGAAGGUUUUGAUGUCACUUCCUCCAGCUGCUCAUCAACAAGGUACAUCUACAGCAGACUGUAGAGCUCUUCUUUUCUCCCACAACCAGCAUAAACCAGUAUGAUCUGUGCUAUAAUCAGUCUGAAUUUCCUGCUUUACUGGACAUUAGUUUUAGCAGAAGAGAAUGGAGUCACUCAAAUCCCCAGUGUCGCCUGGCACCUGAAAGGAGAAUCUGCUGAAAUGAAGUGCAGUCAUAAUAAAGAUGCUACCUAUAAUAGGAUGUACUGGUUCAGACAGCACCAAGGACAGAGUAUGGAGCUCAUCGUGUACAUAACAACCAGUAAUCAACCAGAUUUUGGCUCUGUGGGUAAAAAUAAAUUUUCUGCUAUUAAAGAAAUUGCUGCAAAUGGAUCUUUAACUGUGAAGGAUCUGGAUACAGACGACAGCGCUGUAUAUUUCUGUGCAGUAAGUGAGCACAGUGUUACAGAGUUACUGCACUGCUGAACAAAAACACCUGCACUGAUGUUACUGCAGUCACUAAUAAAACAGACAGAGGGAGUCCUCGUCUAUUAAAUGAUCAAAAUAAUUCCUUUUUCAAAACUGGGCAGUGAAACUCAACAUAUGUCUCACUCUUCAAAACUAUUACACAAUAAUGUCAAUAGGUUGUCCUUGUCAGUUGGAGUAAUAACAUAUUUACAUUGAAAUUAAUGUUGUUGUCAAAUUUAAUAAUCACAUCCUACUUGUCUUUUAUUUUACUUACAUUGAACAACGUGACACAUCCUCAAAACAAAUUUGUUCCUGUUAUCACUUAUGUUAUAGAAGCUAUAAACUGUCAUUACCUUACUGUCAGGACUCAGCCCGGACUUUGG